rnacentral:lncRNA from 1 species
GCCAAUUCAAGAAUAGCCGGCUCUAUGCAACAAAUCAUCAUUCUUGAAAAAUAAAAGCCAUCCACAGAACGAAAACCAUCAUAUGAAAGAAUUCAAUAUAUAAUAAAAACAUAGUACUUAAUACCACAGCAACAGAACUGAGACUAAUCUUCUACUCCAAGACACAUGAUCCUCAACAAAUAAUAUAAUUUAGCAUGGUCCAAUAACAUAUAUAUAUAAACUGAUAGUUGAGUUAACACUCCAUCAUCAAGAUUGAAUCAAAUAGACAGACAUUAGGAAACCCAAAUCCAAGGUAAAUAAACUAGGAAUUAAUUAAUUAAUUAAUUCUCUUCAUCCAAUUCCUGCAUUUGCUUGAGGACUUCAGCACAGCCAGAAGCAACCUCCUCUGCCAUGUAUAACAUAGCAUUGGCAAACCUGUCAUUAGAGGAAAUGCCGUUGUAACGGGUGAGAAUAACGCGUGCUUGGUCACGUCCAGGUGCUUUUUCGCUGCAACUACGCUCAGGACUGUUUAUUAGCUGCACAUCACACACAUCAUCGGCGCGAUCUUGAUCCACAUAGAUUGUAUAUUCUCCAGUUGCAUCAGUCUUCCCUGGCUUUGUGAACACAACUUCGUUGGUGAUCCUUUGCUUGCAUACCAGCAUAACAUCAGCACCUAAAAAGAUUCAUUAAUCAAACAUAAUAUUGUGUUAACAAACUACCAUAUGGAAAAUGUUCUCCAUGAGGAUUAUAAAUUAUAAGAAUUCCCUUCUUUAUACUUCUGAUUAAACAUUUUUAUGUUGUUCUGAUUUUAUUUGUAUAUAUAGAGAAUAAACAGCAGCAGCAACAACCAAUGGCUACAUGAAUCAAACGAUCCCAUAAUGUUCUAUCAUAUAAUAUAUUUGUAUUCAACUGAUUAAUCUCUAGAUGCAUUCGAAACAAAAUAUUCAAAAUAAUAAUAAUAAUAAAAAAUGAUAAAAAACCUAAAAAUGUGAAAUUGAAUAUUCUUAUAUCUAACUAGUAAAAACAAUCUAUUGUUUCGAAUAGUCUGGUUUGAAGAUUUCACUCAGCAAGGUCAAUCAUUUAACAUUAUAAUAAUAGUAAUAAACCAUUAAUUAAAAAAGUUAUUUUUAAAAAAUAAGAUUAUGGGACUAAAUUACUAGAUCCAACAUACUACUACACAAAAAAUAAAUCAAAACAAUAGCUUAAAUUCUAAACAAAUCUAUUUCCCUAUAUUACACUUAUUUGUGAAAGCAGAUCAGAUCUGAUACUCCAUUAUCUGGAAAAGAAAACCAUGUUCCUCUAUUCCAUUCAAAAUCCUAAAAUCUAAAGCAAAAUUGAAAAUGAACAAACACCAUUUCCAAAAAUUAAAGAAAUUAAAGAAAUUAAAGUACUUUAAGAAAGAGAUCUGAGAGUAAAAAGGGGUUACCAGCAAUGUGAGUGAUAGCGGAAGUUUCAUAACCAGCACGGCAAGGGUCACAUACAACACGACCCUUCAAACAGAAAGGGUUCUUGGCUGGGCGAAUGGCCAUAACCAUCGCUGGAAGAACACACAAAAACAACAAAAAAGCUCCUCUUGAAGCCAUAGUGAAGGAUGAAGAUUGAAGAUAGAGAAUAGAAGAAGAAGAAUGAGAAAUG